rnacentral:rRNA from 1 species
AAUUUGGGACAAUGGGGGAAACCCUGAUCCAGUCAUCCCGCGUGUGCGAUGAAGGUCUUCGGGUUGUAAAGCACUUUUGGCGUGAAAGAAACGUUCCGGGUUAAUCCCCCGGGAAACUGACGGUACCUGCAGAAUAAGCACCGGCUAAUUACGUUCCACCAGCCGCGGUAAUACGUAGGGUGCAAGCGUUAAUCGGAAUUACUGGGCGUAAAGCGUGCGCAGGCGGUUCGGAAAGAAAGAUGUGAAAUCCCAGAGCUUAACUUUGGAACUGCAUUUUUAACUGCCGAGCUAGAAUGUGUCAGAGGGAGGUGGAAUUCCGCGUGUAGCAGUGAAAUGCGUAGAUAUGCGGAGGAACACCGAUGGCGAAGGCAGCCUCCUGGGAUAACACUGACGCUCAUGCACGAAAGCGUGGGGAGCAAACAG